GAUGAACGCUGGCGGCGUGCCUAAUACAUGCAAGUCGAGCGAACAGACGAGGAGCUUUCUCCUCUGACGUUAGCGGCGGACUGGUGAGUAACACGUGGAUAACCUACCUAUAAGACUGGGAUACCUUCGGGAAACUGGAGCUAAUACCGGAUAAUAUAUUGACCCGCAUGGUUCAAUAGUGAAAGACGGUUUUGCUGUCACUUAUAGAUGUAUCCGUGCCUCAUUAGCUAGUUGGUAAGGUAACGGCUUACAGAGGCAACGAUGCGUAGCCGACCUGAGCGGGUGAUCGGCCACACUGGAACAGAGACACGGUCCAGACUCCUACGGGAGGCAGCAGUAGGGAAUCUUCCGCAAUGGGCUAAAGCCUGACGGAGCAACGCCGCGUGAGUGAUGAAGGUCUUCGGAUCGUAAAACUCUGUUAUUAGGGAAGAACAAAUGUGUAAGUAACUAUGCACGUCUUGACGGUACCUAAUCAGAAAGCCACGGCUAACUACGUG
rnacentral:rRNA from 1 species